rnacentral:rRNA from 1 species
AGCGAACGUUAGCGGCGGGCCUAACACAUGCAAGUCGAACGCGAAAGGUCUUCGGACUGAGUAGAGUGGCGCACGGGUGAGUAACACGUAGGUAAUCUACCCUUUGGCGGGGGAUAACGUUCCGAAAGGAGCGCUAAUACCGCAUAAGACCACGGAGUCUCCGGACGCUGUGGGAAAAGGUGGCCUCUUCUUGAAAGCUACCACCGAAGGAUGAGCCUGCGUCCCAUCAGCUAGUGUAGGUAAUGGCUUACCAAGCGAAGACGGGUAGCUGGUUUGAGAGAAUGAUCAGCCACACUGGCACUGGAACACGGGCCAGACUCCUACGGGAGGCAGCAGUGAGGAAUAUUGGGCAAUGGGCGAAAGCCUGACCCAGCCACGCCGCGUGAGUGAUGAAGGCCCUCGGGUCGUAAAGACU